GAGUUCCUUGCGCGCGAGGUUGGCCCGACGCGCUUCGGACGCGUCAGCCUGCCUGGCACGUUCGGCGCGGGCGAAGAUCC
rnacentral:tRNA from 1 species